CUCUUGCAAUGAAGGGGGAAAAAACAACACUUCAGCACCACUCCCUCUUAUUUACAUAGGAAUGCCAGGCCUACCUUUUCCAGUUCAUAGGAACAGUCGCCUACAUUUGAAACUACUGCCUUGAAGAAAAUAUUCUACUGCCAGACUAAAAUACGACAUCUUAAGAAUAUGGAGCUGAUCUGGAAGAAAAAACAAACAAACAACUGAACAGUCCCAGGAAGACAGAACCUCAUUGAUUAAGGGGAGAUUUGGAAUAUGCAGUUGAACCUCAGUUCUGUGACAAGGAGUCCCGGUCAACAAACUUUAUAGGAAUGAGAAAUUCAUCUGGGAUUAGUACCCCCAAAGACCUGCAGCCGUCAGUGUCUGAGUGAUUAGAUGCCUCUACGAGUGAAAGAGUGGUUCUCAGGAAGAACAGGUAAAACCUGGUAUACAUUAGCUUUUGAGGACUUGGGAGCUGCCAUCAUCUGGGUGGAAGGACAAAGUCAAAAGGAGCUUUUAGGACCUACCUACAACAAAUCGAGGGUCACUUUAAAUAAAUUGGUUUCUUCAAAUCCAAUGGUGAAAUGACUCCAGAAGUUGACAAGCUGCUCACUUAGGUGAGGCAACUGAAGCAGAAAGAACUUCCAGACACCUACCCAGCUAUGAUUUGGAACAGGACUAGAACCUAUUAUUUUUUCCACUUUGGUCCAGUCUGAAGGAAAUAUUCUACACUGAGGUUCUUCACCUAAGGUGACAGACAGCCUUGUGAACUUCUAAAAAUCUACAGUAUCUACCAGCGCUGAUAGCCAUGCCCCUCAGAACCACAGUGGUGGAAGGCAGUGUAUGUGUUAGCUGUCAUAUACCAUGAGAACAAACUGGA